rnacentral:rRNA from 1 species
AGCAGCCGCGGUAAUUCCAGCUCCAAUAGCGUAUAUUAAAGUUGUUGCAGUUAAAAAGCUCGUAGUUGAACUUCGGGGUUUACCCAUUGGUCAGGCUUAAUUGUCUGUACUGGUGAGAUGAAUCUCUACCUUCUGAGGAACUUUCAUGCCAUUUAUUUGGUGUGAUAGGAAAUCAGGACUGUUACUUUGAAAAAAUUAGAGUGUUUAAAGCAGGCUAACGUCUGAAUACAUUAGCAUGGAAUAAUGAAAUAGGACGGACUGAUUCUAUUUCGUUGGUUUCUAGGAUCACCGUAAUGAUUAAUAGGGAUAGUUGGGGGCAUUAGUAUUCAAUUGUCAGAGGUGAAAUUCUUGGAUUUAUUGAAGACUAACUACUGCGAAAGCAUUUGCCAAGGAUGUUUUCAUUAAUCAAGAACGAAAGUUAGGGGAUCGAAGACGAUCAGAUACCGUCGU